rnacentral:rRNA from 1 species
UACGAAGGGGGCUAGCGUUGCUCGGAAUCACUGGGCGUAAAGGGUGCGUAGGCGGCUUUCUAAGUUGGAUGUGAAAACUCUGGGCUCAACCCAGAGACUGCAUCCAAAACUGGAGAGCUUGGGUUCUGGAGGGGAAAGCGGAAUUCCUGGUGUAGCGGUGAAAUGCGUAGAUAUCAGGAGGAACACCUGUGGUGUAGACAGCUUACUGGACCACUUUCUGACGCUGAGACACGAAAGCGUGGGUAGCAAACAGG